CCUACGGGAGGCAGCAGUGGGGAAUAUUGCACAAUGGGCGGAAGCCUGAUGCAGCGACGCCGCGUGAGGGAUGACGGCCUUCGGGUUGUAAACCUCUUUCAGUAGGGAAGAAGCGAAAGUGACGGUACCUGCAGAAGAAGCGCCGGCUAACUACGUGCCAGCAGCCGCGGUAAUACGUAGGGCGCAAGCGUUAUCCGGAAUUAUUGGGCGUAAAGAGCUCGUAGGCGGUUUGUCGCGUCUGCCGUGAAAGUCGGGGCUCAACUCCGGAUCUGCGGUGGGUACGGGCAGACUAGAGUGAUGUAGGGGAGACUGGAAUUCCUGGUGUAGCGGUGAAAUGCGCAGAUAUCAGGAGGAACACCGAUGGCGAAGGCAGGUCUCUGGGCAUUAACUGACGCUGAGGAGCGAAAGCAUGGGGAGCGAACAGGAUUAGAUACCCUGGUAGUCCAUGCCGUAAACGUUGGGCACUAGGUGUGGGGGACAUUCCACGUUUUCCGCGCCGUAGCUAACGCAUUAAGUGCCCCGCCUGGGGAGUACGGCCGCAAGGCUAAAACGUACAAGAGUAGUAGCGUCGAGACGAGCGACGACGACGACGACGGAGGAGGAG
rnacentral:rRNA from 1 species